GAAAAAGGCCGACUUUAUAUCCAGCUAAACGGGCUUUAUGCUUCUUCAGAUGAGGCCGAGGUAACUGAAGGACAAUUUGAGUUCCAGCACGGCCUUGUAUAUAAGUUCAUCGUGACAUCAUACAAUGAGAUCAGGAAUGUAAAGAGCCUUACUUUCCGAUGGGAACAUGACCCGACCCUGUACAAGCCUUGGGAGUGGAGCUGGUUCCACACUCCACAACUCUACGUCUACAAAUUCAGUGCAGAGGCAGGUAACUCUGGCGAUAGGAAAGAAUUUUGUGGUUAUGGACAGCCAGUAGCAGACAAUACUGCUACAACCUUCCCGACCGCUGACAGUUGCAGAUAAAUAGGAGGAACUAAAGGAUUGGAAUAAACCGGUGCACCACUCAAAUGUCAUUGUUUUGUCAUUUACUAUUCUCACUAGUAUCGAACCAGUGCCAUGAACACAAAGCAGCAUCUUAUCGUUCUCCUCAACUGCAAUACGGCAAUAAAUUGGUUCCGUGGAACGAAUGAUGUUCGUUGAAUUGAAUGAGCUAUGGCCAUGUCAGAUGAGUAAGCAAAGGGGCUCGUGUACAGAGAAGGAUGAGGUUUCGGCUGCUUGUAGACCGUAAACAUGUCAUCUAAAACAUUCGUUGGGUAAAUACCCGUCCAGCGAAACCGUGACAGAAGAGCAGGGCCAGUAGAGGGGAAUCAUUUGACUGUGCAUGUUCGGGU